rnacentral:sRNA from 1 species
AACUAAUUCCGCGUUAACGAUUGAAGCGACAUCCUUUUUGUUUUUCACAAAAAGAUACAGCGAAAAGCGUGGCAUUUC